rnacentral:lncRNA from 10 species
UCCUUCCUCCUAUCUUCACAAAGACCUUUGUAGAUUGUAGAUACAAGGCCACUGUCUUCAUGCAACAAAACGUAAUGUAGAAGCCCCAGGUUUUGAUACUCGCUGGGCAAUUCACUUCCACUUAUGUUUAUUUCAAAUAAGACUAAUAAUUUUGCACGAGACUGAGAUCUCCGAGGGCAGGGACAUCAGCAUUUUUACUUUUCAGCACCUAACAGAACACCUGGCACACAAUAUAUGCUUAAUAAAUAUCUCUUAAAUGACCCUGUGUUUGCCUCCUACGAGGAGGUUUUGUGAGACAUAGAAAAAUGUAAAGUAUAUAAAAUCACUCUGGAAAUUUAAAAACACUGGAAGCCAAUAUUGUCAUAAUUUCUCUAACUAAAGACCUAAGUCUUCAUGGCAAAGGAGGAAAGAGUUAAAUGCCUUCAUAGAUUAGAAAAAUAGAAUAAUUCAUUUUAAGAAACUGCUUAUUUUCUAGUCCCUGAUUAUACAUAUAGACGAGUGACCCACGGCCUGUGGAGGCUUACUGUCAUUGUUUUACUAGUAAUAUCUAAUAUUUCUUGAGCACUUUCUAUGUUCUGGGUGCUAUUCUAAGCACUUUAUAUAUGCUGUGUCAUUUAAACCUCAUGGCAACCACAUCAGGUGGUCACUAUUAUCAUCCCCAUUUUCCAGAAAAGGCACAGGGAGGGUAAUGUGCGUAACCAAAGUUACCUAACUAGUUAGUUGAGUCAGAAUGCAUGUCCAAUCAGGAGGAAAUGGAAGUAUGCACCAACUGUGAGUCACAUUUAUAUACAUUUUUGCCACAUCUAGUUAUUUACUAGAGCUAAAUUUUCUGUAGACUAGUUUGGUUUGAUGAAAACUCUGUUUUAAUUACAUGUGUGGGGGUGUGUGUAUGUGCACAUGUGUGCACACUAGGUCACAGUGUAAAAUAUAUUUGCCACUGUGUAUCAAGUAUAAGUAGAGAAAGACUGAGUUUUCUCAUUUUAGUCUCAUAACGAUGCUCUAAAGUUGGCAUUGUUAUCCCCAUUUUACAGGAAAGAAAACUGAGAUUCUAAAAUGUUGAAUAACCUACACAAGUUCACACAGCAAGAAAGCGACAGGACCAGGGUUCAACUUCCUCCACAGCAGUGUUUGCUCUCCUCUAUAGCAACCACAACACAGCCAACUCUUUGCAGCAGAGAAAAUGUAAACCCUGGAACUUUCACAGAGAGCCUGUGCUGGGAAGCCUCCGGGACCAUCUGCUCCUCCAGAAGGCUUGCAACUGUUCUUUUCAU